UCGGAUUCGGAGCUAGCUAUUGAUUUUGGCAAAAAGGACAUCGGAAGAGAUCUCAGUAGCAGUCGUCGCGAAUCAGGUGAGCCCUAGUUGGUGGACUUGGAGCUGGGCGGGAUUCAGAGUGGCCACAUGUUUUCUGCAAAUUCGUUUUCUUCUGGUGAACUAGAUUUUCCAUAUUUUUCGUUUAUGGUUUUGGGUUUUUUUGUAAUAAGGCCGCUAUUUAUUUUUAUGGUUUGGGUUGUUUCUUUAUUAUUUAAUUCUAUUAUGAUAAAACUGAUCUAUGAUAACUAACGAAA